UAGGGAAUCUUCCACAAUGGNGAAGCCUGAUGGAGCAACGCCGCGUGUGUGAUGAAGGGUUUCGGCUCGUAAAACACUGUUGUAAGAGAAGAAUGACAUUGAGAGUAACUGUUCAAUGUGUGACGGUAUCUUACCAGAAAGGAACGGCUAAAUACGUGCCAC
rnacentral:rRNA from 1 species